ACCUGGUUGAUCCUGCCAGUAGUCAUAUGCUUGUUUCAAGGACUAAGCCAUGCAAGUCUCAGAGUAAAUGGAUCACAGUAGGUCUGCAGACAGCUCAUUAAAUCAGCUUCAAUCUACGCGGAGAAACUGCCUUAUGGCAGACUAUUGGAUAACUUUGGUAACCCCAAAGCUAAUACAUGUCAGUAAAACCCGCACAGAUUCAACCUCGGGGCCUUGGUUCUGGGGCUGUGUUGGGUGCAAUUGACCGAAACAAAAACCAACGCUAGCAAUAGCAGCGGUGAUUGGACGACUCAGGUCAAUCGAGUAGCAGCGCAUACUUCGGUGGCGCUUGUCCGCAUGAGAAUCUGCCCUAUCAGCUUUUGACGGUAGGGUCGCGGCCUACCGUGGCUGUAACGGGUAACGGGGAAUUAGGGUUCGAUUCCGAAGAGGGAGCCUGAGAAACGGCUACCACAACUAAGGUUGGCAGCAGGCGCGCAAAUGGCCCAAUAGCAACACAUCGCUGAGGCAGCGAAGAGAAAUAGCAACUUCAUGCGGCCCUGCCGUGUGAAGAUUGCCAUGGACGAUAUCUAAACCUGUCGGUGAGUAUCAAUUGGUGGACAAGUCUGGUGCCAGCACCCGCGGUAAUUCCAGCACCAAAAGCGUAUAUUAAUGCUGCUGCUGAUAAAAAGCUCGUAGUUGGACCAAGAGUUCGAUAGUGCAAGGUGGCCCCGCUUGCUAUGUUGGCUCCGGUCACCGUAGCGGCGGCGGAUAAACCCCUUGCGCCAAACUGUCGUCUCUAACAGACCGAAACGGUUCCCUGUGAGUAGGUUCCUUCAUUGGGGCUGAAAGCGCCUACGCAUCAACCAUAUGCUUACGGGACGUCGGUCAAAGUUACUGUGAACAAACCAGCGUGUCCAAAACAGGCUUUCGCCUGAAUGUUCGAGCAUGGAAUAACAAGGGAUCGAUUCUCUCGGUUCUUUUUGUUGGGUUUUAACCCGAGAAGGAGUAAUUCAGCCACGGGUGUCUGGGCUGGGUUCCCCUAGUCUUCCGGAUUAGGCCCCAGUUAGGCCGUGUCCUUACGGGAUCAAUAGGGACUGACGGGGUCGUACGUACUUCCACGUCAGAGGUGAAAUUCUUAGAUCGUGGGAAGACGAACUUCUGCGAAGGCAUUCGACAAGAAUGUCUUCAUUAAUCAAGAACGAGAGUGUGGGGAUCGAAGAUGAUCAGAUACCGUCGUAGUCCACUACUGUAAACAAUGCCGUCUCAGGAUUGAGAAGUGAACCUAAUGACUUUCACAGCACUAACCCCUGAAACGAGAAAUCAAAGAUUAUGGGUUCAGGGGGGAGUACAUUCGCAAGGCUGAAACUUAA
rnacentral:rRNA from 1 species